AGGACGAACGCUGGCGGCGUGCCUAACACAUGCAAGUGGAGCGACGAACCAGGCUUCGGCCUGGGGCAAAGCCGCGAACGGGUGAGUAACACGUGGGUAACCUGCCCCGAUGAUUGGGACAACCCGAGGAAACUCGGGCUAAUACCGAAUAUGACCUCCGGCCUCAAGGCCGCUGGGGAAAGGAAGCUUCGGCCUCCGCAUCGGGAUGGGCCCGCGGCCCAUUAGCUUGUUGGUGAGGUAACGGCUCACCAAGGCAACGAUGGGUAGCUGGUCUGAGAGGACGAUCAGCCACACUGGGACUGAGACACGGCCCAGACUCCUACGGGAGGCAGCAGUGGGGAAUCUUGCGCAAUGCGCGAAAGUGUGACGGAGCGACGCCGCGUGUGGGACGAAGCCCUUCGGGUGUAACCACUGUCAGGGAUAGAAAGUUCUGAUCAUCCCCAGAGGAAGGCACGGCUAACUCUGUGCCAGCAGCCGC
rnacentral:rRNA from 1 species